AGCUCUCUUCAAUGUGUGCCAUGUUUUCUAUCUGUCCUUGGUAUCCAACACUUCCAGACAGAUCUGUUCCAGUGCAGAGAACAAGCCCCUGAUGAAGAAUCCAACCUCGAUUCUUGGGGGUAGCAGUGAUGAUGCAGAGGGUAUUGGAAAACCCAAGUGAGAGGGAGGAUGGAACAAAGUCCCAGCUGUGUUCAAGGGUGAGAAGAGAUGUUGAGCUGGAGGGACACUGCUGGACAGGGCUUAUUUCUUCCCCAGGGUUCAGAUUCAAAGUGCAGCACAGAUACUCCUGCUGCAUGUUUUACUGCCCCAGGCUUGGGAAACUGGUGCAAGAGUGAAACCACAGAGUGCUUCUGCAUUUGUGUUGUGGCUUCUGCUGGCUGCUUAGCCCUGUUCAGAUAGAUCCAAGCUGAAGCUGAAACAGUGAUAAGUCUGGCACAAGAGCGAAUCAUGUCAACUGGCUUAUACAUACGUUUUUUGGCAGAUGAAAAUAAUCAACUAAGGAAGGUCUUCAGCUCAAAAAGCAUCUUCCCUGAGAGUGCUAGCCAGGAGAGGCUGCCUUUAAAGCCACCUAAACUUCAUAGCCUGCUACUACAGAGCUGACCAGCACUGCUGUUCUACAGUGGAUGAUGGCUUCAUGUCCAAUCUUGACAGCAAAGGAAUCCACCACUUCCCUAUAGCACUGGGGGUUGUUGCGCCCAUGGCCAAAAUCUUGUGUGUCCCACAGAGACAGAACAGGGCAAAGUAUCCACAAUGACACCUUACGUAUAUCUUCCUGCUGCCCCUACUGUCCUAUUCCAGGGACAAGAGGAAAGCUGGAGCUAUUUCAACUUUGGACUUGUCUACAUGGGAAAAUUAAUCAGAAGACCAAUA